GUCAAAGUUCCACAAGUAAUCGUCAAGAUGAUGUACUUUCCAUUCAUCCUGCUUCCUCUGAACAUUUUUCGUUGUCUGAUUCAGAAGAAGAAGACACAGAGCACAGUGCUAGUGUACGCAGGUGUUUGAAAGACAUUUUUGGAGAAGAUGCAUGUUUGAAAAAAGAUGCACAAAAGCCAACUGGCAUUUGCUUAGAAAAUUCGCAGAAAGAAAUUUUGGAACAAAGCUAUCGGUCUAAAACACCAAAUAAUGUAACAGCCUUUUCAGAAGAGUGCAAAGAUUUAUUUCCAGUUGAUGAAGACACUGAACAUUUUUUACGUGUACCUACAUUAUACGAUAUUGUAGACACGUGUCUAACAAAGAAGUUUGGUUCUAGAGCUUCAUUCGCUAAACAUGGAACUUUUCUGUUCUCACAACCAAACAAAAUGGUGGAGAAGACCGCAUACAGAGGACAGCAAAGUGUCUACAUGGGUAUUGUUACACAGAUGUACAUGCAGCAAGCUCUUGCAAUGUUAAUGGACAUGGUUUCAGAUAAACCAGACAUUGAGAAAAAAGUGAAGGACAUUUUCGCUUUAUCCACACGAAGUCUAGAUCAAUUUGGUAGAGCAGGAGCAUUUUUUCAUAUCAUUCGUAGACAAGUCACAAUGAGCGAGACUUCUUUAUAUGAACUUGAUGAUUCAAGGACAAUCAGUAACCUACCCUUGAGAGGGGACGGGGUGUUUGGUGAAGAAUUGGAAAAGACUCUCAAACAAAAGAAAGACAAAAGAAAAACACUUGAAGAGUUAUUGCCAGAAAAAUUGCAAAAGAAGGAAACAUAUAAGAGGAAAGCCAGUGAACAGACAGAACAGCAAACAUCUGUCAAAAGACAAUAUGUAAAGACAAAUACAAGAAUGGGUGUUCAGCCAAAUGAAUACAAUAGAGCGCCACCUACAUUUCGCAUUCCAAAAUACAAUGCGGACUCACGAAGUACUUUUCGAACAGAGCACAGAGCUGGUGGCUCGAGAGGUCGGGGCAACUAUGCAGCCAAUAACAGACCAAGGGCUACAGUUGCCAAGAUGCCCUCAAGCAACCACCGUUUGAGCCAAUAAAGACAGCCAGUUUAAAGUAUGUAACUUACAAGACAGUUUUUCUCAUAGCAAUUACAACUUUUCGCAGAUGGGGGGUUUUACAAUCUUUGACAUUGGGAGAAAAUUCUGUGAAUGUACAAGCAAAAGGUGUAACUUUCAUAAGGCAUGGUUUAUCGAAACAGGACAGAGGUUCACAUCAGAGCAAUACUAUUUUUAUUCCUGCUUUUCCAAAUAACAAGUUGUUGGAUCCAAAACGAGCAUUGACUUAUUAUCUGAAAUCAACAGAAAAAUUUAGGAAUUCAAAAGAGAAGGACUCUUUGAAAUUAUUUUUAACUGUAAAUAAACCGCAUAGAGCGGCUUCAAGUCAGACAAUUUCGUCAUGGAUUGUUAAGACUAUUCAAAAGUCAUACAAAAUGAAAAAAGUGUAUGUAUCUAAAGUUAAAGGUCAUUCAACUAGGUCAAUCGGACCAUCAUGGGCUCUUUUUAAGGGAGCUCCAUUGAAAGAUGUUUUAGACAGUGCGGAUUGGAGUAGAUCAUCUACUUUUGUGAAGUUCUAUUUUAAAGAUGUAUCAUUUGAUUUUCUUAAAGAAUAAUGUUUUUCUCCCCGGCGAGUUAUUUUCCGGAAAAUGAACUGUUUUUAAGUCAACAGUAUGGAACAUAUCAUAUAUAUGAUGGCCACAAGUAGUGGUUUAUCCAUCAUAUAUUUUUUUAAAUAUAUUGUUUAAAUAUGUGGAAAAGUGAAUAAGAAUACAUGAUUUGUGCUGUGUACAGUUAUUAUUGUGUAUAUAAGAGGGACUGUUGUAGCAGUUUUUAUGAAAUAGAAGAUAUAGAAAACUCUGGAAUGAGAAGAUCUACUAUAAUUGUUGGAGUGGUCAGAAAGUACCUGAACCCGCCUCCAAAGAGGGACUGCUUUGGGAAGGAAUCCUAAAGUACAUAUGUCAGACUACUUUCUGAGGCCUUCGAAGGCGCCAAGGAAAGUGAUUCGAGCAUGAGGUCGUGCGGAGAGGAAACUACGAUACGCAUGCGCGAAAGUUGUUUAUUUCCGGUAGUCGUCUAUUAUGCGGCGCCUACCGUAUAGCGAGUUAUUUUCGGGCCGAGAUAGAAUCCUAAAGUACAUAUGUCAGGUAAGUAUAAUUUACUCAUAAAAUUAUAAUUUGAGUACAAAUUUGGAAAUUUUAUUAAA